rnacentral:rRNA from 1 species
GAUGAACGCUGGCGGCGUGCUUAACACAUGCAAGUCGAACGAAGCACUUUAUUUGAUUUCCUUCGGGACUGAUUAUUUUGUGACUGAGUGGCGGACGGGUGAGUAACGCGUGGGUAACCUGCCUUGUACAGGGGGAUAACAGUUGGAAACGGCUGCUAAUACCGCAUAAGCGCACAGCAUCGCAUGAUGCAGUGUGAAAAACUCCGGUGGUAUAAGAUGGACCCGCGUUGGAUUAGCUAGUUGGUGAGGUGACGGCCCACCAAGGCGACGAUCCAUAGCCGACCUGAGAGGGUGACCGGCCACAUUGGGACUGAGACACGGCCCAAACUCCUACGGGAGGCAGCAGUGGGGAAUAUUGCACAAUGGGCGAAAGCCUGAUGCAGCGACGCCGCGUGAGCGAAGAAGUAUUUCGGUAUGUAAAGCUCUAUCAGCAGGGAAGAUAAUGACGGUACCUGACUAAGAAGCAC